AAACCAGCACCUCAAGUGGUCAGGAUGAUUAUUGGGCCUAAAGCAUCCGUAGCCGGCUCUGUAAGUUUUCGGUUAAAUCUGUACGCUUAACAUACAGGCUGCCGGGAAUACUGCAGAGCUAGGGAGUGGGAGAGGUAGACGGUACUCGGGAGGAAGUGGUAAAAUGCUUUGAUCUCUCGAUGACCACCUGUGGCGAAGGCGGUCUACCAGAACACGUCCGACGGUGAGGGAUGAAAGCUGGGGGAGCAAACCGGAUUAGAAACCCGAGUAGUCC
rnacentral:rRNA from 1 species